GCCUUCGUGGUGUAAUGGUCAGCACGUUGAGCGCGUAUUCCAGAAGUCCGUGGUUCGAGUCCCGGCGAAGGCG
rfam:Stegodyphus mimosarum contig79913, whole genome shotgun sequence.